AAAUUGAAGAGUUUGAUCAUGGCUCAGAUUGAACGCUGGCGGCAGGCCUAACACAUGCAAGUCGAACGGUAACAGGAAGAAGCUUGCUUCUUUGCUGACGAGUGGCGGACGGGUGAGUAAUGUCUGGGAAACUGCCUGAUGGAGGGGGAUAACUACUGGAAACGGUAGCUAAUACCGCAUAACGUCGCAAGACCAAAGAGGGGGACCUUCGGGCCUCUUGCCAUCGGAUGUGCCCAGAUGGGAUUAGCUUGUUGGUGGGGUAACGGCUCACCAAGGCGACGAUC
rnacentral:rRNA from 1 species